rnacentral:misc_RNA from 1 species
AAGAAUAGGGAGUUUGGCUUCUCAUAAUAAAACCUUACUAAAGUUAUCACUCAUAGUAGCUACUUGAUUGAAAAUCCUAAGGAAAUAAUCACUGACACCUUCAAUGUCAAGAAGGUUCUCAGAAAUCUUCAAGUACUAGGUUCUUCCCACCAUUGAUGAUCGAAGAGGGCUAUGGUAGUGACUAAAUGCAGUCGUUGCUAAUCAUGAGGGACUUUGAUGUUGUGUUGAAAGGUGAAGACAUAUAUAAUGGUAGUCAUUUGGCUGAUGCAGAAGUCAAAGAUUUUGAAGAAUUCCUAUUGAGCAUAUGGGUCACUAAGAUGAAAUUCGUUGGCAGAU